UACUAAUCGUGGAGUGACGCCGAAAGAAGGUCCCUGGCGGUUUGGGUGAGACAUUUGAGGACGGGGCACUGGUGUGGUCGUCCGUGCUUCUCUUAGCGGAGACGAGAGGUAGUCCUUGCGAAGCCCGAUUCCACCCCUGUUCAUUUGUUGUACCAGACUGCAUACUCCUAAGCCUCACCAGAGCCACCUGGAAUGUAGGAGAUGCUUUCUUGCCACUGCUGGCAUGUACCGUGUGACGUCCACCACUGUCUUGCCUCUUGUCUGCAGCAUCACAGAAUCCUUUCUCCAUCAACAUGGUAGGCUUCAAGAUGUAGAUAACAUAGAUCCUAUCAGUCUGAAGGCAGAUCCACAUAAAGGUUUAAUUUCAAAUACAUAAAAUUAUGUUCAGUAAAAGAAGCUUUCAGAGGCAGAAUUAUUUAGUCUACCAUGCUCAGAAAAAAUGUUUCAUGAUCUACUGUUGUGGAUGUCGAAUUAAAAGACA